rnacentral:rRNA from 1 species
UACAGAGGGUGCAAGCGUUGUUCGGAAUUAUUGGGCGUAAAGGGAGUGUAGGCGGCUGACUAAGUCUUCUGUGAAAGCUGCGGGCUUAGCCUGCAAAGUGCAGAGGAAACUGGUUGGCUUGAGUGUCGGAGAGGAUAGGGGAAUACCCGGUGUAGAGGUGAAAUUCGUAGAGAUCGGGUGGAACACCAGUGGCGAAGGCGCCUGUCUGGCUGACAACUGACGCUGAGACUCGAAAGCAUGGGGAGCAAACAGA